CCCCACUUCCUGCACCACAGCUGCAGGUGGGGGGCCAGUGGGUGGGGCACAGGCUCCCAGGAGGGGUUUUUGUAUGUGCUUGUAUCACAGUGUUAUGUGUUCGGCGGAGGGACCCAGCUGACCGUCCUAGGUCAGCCCACGUCCGCACCCUCGGUCACGCUCUUCCCGCCCUCCUCUGAGGAACUCGCCGCCAGCAAGGCCACCCUGGUGUGCCUCAUCAGUGACUUCUACCCCAGCGGCGUGACGGUGGCCUGGAAGGCAGACGGCAGCCCCGUCACCCAGGGCGUGGAGACCACCAAGCCCUCCAAACAGAGCAACAACAAGUACGCGGCCAGCAGCUACCUGAGCCUGUCGCCUGACAAGUGGCAAUCUCACAGCAGCUUCAGCUGCCUGGUCACGCACGAGGGCAACACCGUGGAGAAGAAGGUGGUCCCCUCACAGUGCUCUUAGGUCCCUGAGACUUCCAGGGAUGGGGGCCUUCCUCUCCCAGAUACCCCUUUCCCAGCUCACCAUGUCCCCCUGAGUCCCCACCCAGGUUCUGCUCAGAGCAGGCAGGUCACAAUGCCAUCCCUGUUUAUUAUUUGCUCAAUAAAGAUCUCAUCAUUUAUCAUCUGA